CCCUUAGAUGUUCUGGGCUGCACGCGCGCUACACUGACACACUCAGCGAGUCACCUGAUCUGAGAAGACCGGGCAAUCAUGUGAGCGUGUGUCGUGAUGGGGAUAGAAUAUUGUAAUUAUUACUCUUCAACGAGGAAUUCCUAGUAAGCGCGAGUCAGCAGCUCGCGCUGAUUACGUCCCUGCCCUUUGUACACACCGCCCGUCGCUCCUACCGAGGGGGUGAUCCGGUGAAUGAUUCGGACUUUGGCAUUGCUAUGUUUCAUAGCAUUGCUGGGGGAAGUCUUGUGAACCUUAUCACUUGGAGGAAGGAGAAGUCGUAACA
rnacentral:rRNA from 1 species